GGAUGUGAGGGCGAUCUGGCUGCGACAUCUGUCACAUUUGGCUGAUCUGGCUGGGAGGAGGGUGUCCUCUUCCUCCCUUUCCUCCCUCACCGCUCCACGUGCGUCCUUCCCAAAGCUAGUGGGAGCUUGGGCUUGGUCAAAGAGGACGACCUUCCCUGACCUUUCCUGAAUAGAGGAGGACCCGUGUUUAGUCAAGGGUAUACAAGUAGCUGCGCUCCCCAGCUGGAACCUCCAAACAAGCUCUCAAGGUCCUAAAAAAGAAAAACAAUGAAAAAACUGCUACAAACAGCAUUCUUUCUUU
rnacentral:snRNA from 1 species